UCGCGAUUAGGGACUUAUUUCUACUAG
rnacentral:piRNA from 1 species